rnacentral:rRNA from 1 species
CGGUGAGGUAACCUUUUGGAGCCAGCCGCCUAAGGUGGGAUAGAUGAUUGGGGUGAAGUCGUAACAAGGUAGCCGUAUCGGAAGGUGCGGCUGGAUCACCUCCUUUCUAAGGAA